UACGGGGGGAGCAAGCGUUGUUCGGAUUUACUGGGCGUAAAGGGCGCGUAGGCGGCGUGACAAGUCACUUGUGAAAUCUCCGGGCUUAACUCGGAACGGUCAAGUGAUACUGUCGUGCUAGAGUACAGAAGGGGCAACUGGAAUUCUCGGUGUAGCGGUGAAAUGCGUAGAUAUCGAGAGGAACACCUGCGGCGAAGGCGGGUUGCUGGGUCUGCACUGACACUGAGGGACGAAAGCUAGGGGAGCGAAAGUG
rnacentral:rRNA from 1 species